CUGCUGCCUUCCGUAGGAGUCUGGGCCGUGUCUCAGUCCCAGUGUGGCUGGUCGUCCUCUCAGACCAGCUACUGAUCGUUGCUUUGGUGAGCCGUUACCUCACCAACCGGCUAAUCAGUCAUCGGCCGCUCCGCUCGCGAGAGGCCCUUGCGGGUCCCCCUCUUUCUUCCGUAGAACUCAUGCGGUAUUAGCCAACCUUUCGGCUGGUUGUCCCCCCACGAGCGGACACGUUCCGAUGUAUUACUCACCCGUUCG
rnacentral:rRNA from 1 species